rnacentral:rRNA from 1 species
CAACAGGGAUUGCCUUAGUAACGGCGAGUGAAGCGGCAACAGCUCAAAUUUGAAAUCUGGCCCUCGGGUCCGAAUUGUAAUUUGUAGAGGAUGAUUUUGGUGCGGUAUCUUCCGAGUUCCUUGGAACAGGACGCCUUAGAGGGUGAGAGCCCCGUACGGUUGAAUGCCUAGCCUCUGUAAAUCUCCUUCGACGAGUCGAGUAGUUUGGGAAUGCUGCUCUAAAUGGGAGGUAAAUUUCUUCUAAAGCUAAAUAUUGGCCAGAGACCGAUAGCGCACAAGUAGAGUGAUCGAAAGAUGAAAAGCACUUUGAAAAGAGGGUUAAAUAGCACGUGAAAUUGUUGAAAGGGAAGGAUUUGUGACCAGACUUUUUCUGGGCGGAUCAUCCGGGGUUCUCUCCGGUGCACUUUGCCCAGUAAAGGCCAGCAUCGAUUUUCGGCGGCGGAUAAAAGCAGUGGGAAUGUGGCUCCCUACGGGGAGUGUUAUAGCCCAUUGUAUAAUACGCUGCUGGGGAUCGAGGUACGCGCUUCUGCAAGGAUGCUGGCGUAAUGGUUAUCAAUCA